rnacentral:rRNA from 1 species
AUUGAACGCUGGAGGUAUGCUUAACACAUGCAAGUCGAACGUGAAAGCCUUCGGGUGAGUAGAGUGGCGGACGGGUGAGUAACGCGUAGGAAUCUACCUAUUAGUGGGGGACAACAUGGUGAAAACCAUGCUAAUACCGCAUGUGCACUACGGUGUAAAGAGGGCUUCGGCUCUUGCUAGUAGAUGAGCCUGCGUCGGAUUAGCUAGUUGGUAAGGUAAAGGCUUACCAAGGCGACGAUCCGUAGCUGGUCUGAGAGGAUGAUCAGCCACACUGGGACUGAGACACGGCCCAGACUCCUACGGGAGGCAGCAGUGGGGAAUAUUGGACAAUGGGCGCAAGCCUGAUCCAGCAAUACCUCGUGUGUGAAGAAGGCCCUAGGGUUGUAAAGCACUUUCAAUUGGGACGAAGGAUGUGUAGUUAAUACCUGCAUGUCUUGACGGUACCUUUAGAAGAAGCACCGGCUAACUCCG